AGGGCAAGUCUGGUGCCAGCAGCCGCGGUAAUUCCAGCUCCAAUAGCGUAUAUUAAAGUUGUUGCAGUUAAAAAGCUCGUAGUUGAAUUUCGGGGUUAGUAGGUUGGUCAUGCCACUGGUAUGUACUGAUCUUACUGAUUCCUCCUUCCUGAUGAACCGUAAUGCCAUUAAUUUGGUGUUGCGGGGAGACUGGACUGUUACUUUGAAAAAAUUAGAGUGUUUAAAGCAGGCUAACGCUUGAAUACAUUAGCAUGGAAUAAUGGAAUAGGACGUUCGAUCCUAUUUUGUUGGUUUCUAGGAUUGACGUAAUGAUUAAUAGGGAUAGUUGGGGGCAUUAGUAUUCAAUUGUCAGAGGUGAAAUUCUUGGAUUUAUUGAAGACUAACUACUGCGAAAGCAUUUGCCAAGGAUGUUUUCAUUAAUCAAGAACGAAAGUUAGGGGAUCGAAGACGAUCAGAUACCGUCGUAGUCUUAACCAUAAACUAUGCCGACNAGGGAUCGGAUGAUGUUAAUUUUUUAAUGACUCAUUCGGCGCCUUACGGGAA
rnacentral:rRNA from 1 species